rnacentral:lncRNA from 1 species
GGUUGUGUAGACUAAGCAAUUGAUUAAUUUGAUACAUUGGUACAAAGAAGUGAAAAUAAAGAAAGGCAGCUAACCAGCAUGAACUUAAAAUAAACAGACGGCUCAUGCUUUUCAUCAGGCAGAAGGAUUAAAGGUUGACGAGACCGGAUCAGUGCAGACCGCUCCUCAGCUGUCUUUUAACAUUAGAAACUGGACUGAAAUAAUUUCUUUCCCCCAACCAAGCUGAGGUCAUUGAACGUGAAUUUGCAAAAGGCCAUUUAUUUGUAUUGUCUAUAAGUUCUACACAAAUGUAUUGGCAAUUGGUUCUAAUUAAACAGUAUUGUAUAAGUGACCUGAUAACUUCAAUUAGCCAAAACAUUUUAAUAACUUUCUUGCCUUUUUUGAUCGGUAAGGACUGUGGAGAAUUUAAACUAGUGCAUACGUGUGAAUUCUUAAUUGUAAAUGAAACAAGCUACUUAAUGGCUUUUAAUUACCGUAUUAAGUCUCAGUUUAUAUUUUUAAUUGCCCAUUUCUAAUACACCAAUAGGACAGUCAACGUGUAAUUAAACUCAGUGGGGUAUUGGUUCUAGAGAUACAGUUGGUGCUUUAAUGUUUGUGUCACUGAAACUAUUACAUUUACAAUGUAAUGGGUUUGAUUGGAAUGGAGAAACAGGUGUUCUGAGAUAGAUAUGAAUGUGGCCCAAAACUUUUGUAAAUGACAGAGUAAUGUAUUGUCAAAGGUUGGACACCCCAGAUGGGAUACUAUUUGGAAUGCCAGUACUGAAAGGUACAACUUUAAGCUAAUGUUGAUGGAAAGCCAAAAUAAGUCUUUUUUGUUGUUGUUAUCUUUUUUAAAAGAUUUCAUUUUUAACCAUGGCCUUGUCUGUGUGUGCAUAUUGCAUAUUUGAAUGAAGGCAGAAGAGGGAGCCAGACUUCCAAGUCUUGGACUUUGGACUGUUUUGAGCCUACCCACAUGAGUGGUAGGAACCAAACUGGGGAACUCUCUGAGCAGUAAACUCUCUCUUAACUGCUAAGCCUUCCCUACAUACAGCCUUGCUGUGCUCUUCUAAAAGUUUGUUUGUGUGCCUAGCUUCCUUUACAUUUGUAUUGAGUUGUAGAGGUGAUUUUAGGAUUUACAAUUGGCUCAGUGGCUAUUACUUUAAGGCCUUUUAAAAGCAGAAGCUCUUGAGGACUAAGCAAACUUUUAUGCAUCCCCUAUCCUCUACAGUGAUAGACAAUCAUAUACUCCUUUAGUUUGAGGAUAAAGAUUUCUUUUGAAAGAAACCUUUUCACCUGUAUUCUGGAAAGCUUGACUUAAUGGUCCUACAGCUCUGUAUAAGUUCACUUUUCCUAGAAAUUUAUUAUGUGACAAAAUUGAACACAGAAUAUUCUCAAUUAUCCUUAAAUGCAAAAAUAUGAUAGUCUGAGCUAUGAAAAUUAUACCGAAUAAGUUAUCAAGUCAGAAUAGUAGGUAUUGUACCCAGACUAUUUUUUUUUAAUGUAUUUAUUUCAGUCUUCCCCAAAAAGUUUCUUUUAUGGUGUUUUUAACAUUUUCUGUUUCUUUUCUAAACAGAAUCUAGGACAGAGAUAAUACUUUUAGACCCCCUGAGGAUGUUUUAAUGUAACACUGUCCCAAAGAGAGCACGUGUUUAGGGUGAAAACAAGUUGAGAAACUUGAUACAGAAAAGGGCUUAUGAAAGUUAGAAAUUCUAAUUGACAAAAAGAGCUUUUAUUUUUAUUAACGUUUUCUAAGUGGAGCUCUCUGAAAGAAAGUAAUGAAAUCUUGGGUGGUAAUACGUACACAAAAAGAAAAUAAAGCAGGGUAAACAGAGUAUUCACAAUGAAGAUGCAGCCACAUCAUAGAAGUCAUAUAUUUUCAGCAGUAGAAGUUUAAUAGAAUUACCCACUACAUUAAGCAUAUGGAAAUAGCCAACUCAGAAGACUACAAGACAGCCACUGUUGAGAGAGAUAAGAUCCCUUCUCACAUGACUAAGAUGCAAACCUUUAGGGAAAGUAUGUUUAUGUGUUACCGAGUGACAAAAAAAAGUCACUUAUGCGAUGCUAUUGGAACAGAACUGAAAAUCUGCAAAACAGAGAGGCUGUUUCCUUAGUCGGUUUCCAUUGCUGUGAUGAACAAAGGCAGCUUAGGGAGAGGAUUUGUUUGGCUUCUGUAUCCCUGGUGCUGGCCAUUCAUUGUGGGACUUGCACAGGAACACAGGUAGGCACCUGGAGGUAGGAACUGAGGCUGAAGCCUUACAGAAACACUGCUAACUGGCCUGCUCUCUGUGGCUUCCUCUUCAUGGUCUCUUACAGCAGUCAGGGCUGUCUGUCUGCCCAGGAGAGGCAUUGUCCUCCCUCAGUAAACUGGGCCCUUCCAUUUCAAAGGUCAACCAAGAAAAUUCAUACAACUUGCCUAGAGGUCAUUCGAGGGCAUUUUCUCAAUUGAGGCUCCCCUGUCAC